UCCGGCGCCCGCAAGCCACUUCCGCCUAUGUGUCCCUGCGCGCGUGCGCAGACGCGUGGCCCCGCCUCCCGACAGGCCUGUGGCCGCCGCCGGUGUGCGGGUCGUUACCUCCCGCGCAUGCUCUAUCGGGUAGAGACGCUAGGCCGGCACUGCCAAGGUGGGCCCGGCGGUGCGAGGGUCGCCUUUCAGCCCUUACCUCUACCCACUGAAAUGGAGUAGGGCGGUGAGCGCCGAUGUGCUGGAGAAUCUCAUUAUCCCAUCGGCGCUCUGCCUGCUUCUGGCCUCCAAGCCUCUGAAGCCCCCCGGGUUUCAGCUGCCGGCUGCCCCCGAGCCCGUGGAGCCCACGAGAGAGGCAACUUUACGUCAGCGGCCCUGGGCUGAGAUUUGAGAACGGGACCAAGUGGAGAAUGUUGGAGCCAGAUUUUAAAAUCCUUGUCUUCCUUCUUCUUGCUACUUGAUCUAAAUGAGAUACGGCAAAGUCACAGUACCUGUUUUUAUGUUUUUGCCUGAUUCAUACGGGCUUCUCCGGUGAAGAUGGGCUGAAGUAACGCUUGGGUUGCUUUUGACGUUAUAACUCAUCCUGUAGCUGCAGCAACCGUGGUCCUUGCAACCUCAUAAAAAUGUUGCCAGCAUUGUUUUGAUAGUGCCGCUUAAUUCUUGGAAGGCCUCUUUGCUGUCUUCCCUGAGGUUCUUCGGACUUCACACAUUCCAGCAGUAGCUCUCUCAGCUCCUGUCCUGCACAGCUUUCAAGUGCUGACAGUCUCCCUCUGUUGCCCAGGCUGGAAUGGAGUGGCAUGCUCUUGGCUCACUGCGACCUCUGCCUCUCGGAUUCAAGUGAUUCUCCUUCCUCAGCCUCCCGAGUAGCUGCGAUUACAGGCACCCGCUGCCAUGCUCAGUAAAGAAUGACCAGGCAACACUCUUUGAAAAUUGGAGACCAUUUGCAGCUGCUCUCUGUUGAGGAAAGUGAAUAAUAGGGUGCCCUCAAGGAAUUGCAAAGGUAUCACUCAACAGAAACUUUUGUGUCUGAAGAAAACUAGAUCAUUUUAUCAUGGUAGGCAUGCUGAUAUGUUUGCUUUAAUAAAAUGCCAUAUUUCUGCCUUUAAUCUCUUGUCAACCCGCUAUUAAAAAGCCCCAAAGUGCAUGCGUGCAGCACAUGUAAACACUUGUGGUUUUGAGGUUACCACAGAACAUACUAAUAAAGCACGUAAUUUGUGUUUUGUGCA